CCCCUGGGUGCUCCAGCCCUAGCACACAGGGAGUCAGCGCCUAUGCUACAAGGCAGCACAAAUGGAGGGAGGAAACACAAUAAACGCAUGGCAGUGGCUGCAAACAUUCCCUGCGGAAACUGAACGUGAUGAUGAACCCAUGCUAUCCCACUGGCGCGCAGCAUUCCCUCCACUUUCCAAAGUGCUGGGGGGUGCAUAUGUGUGUGUGAGAGAGAGAGAUGCGCAUUGCCCCUUUAAGUAUGCUGACCCCACUCUAAGUACACUGCCUUUUUAAGUAGAUCAAAAAGAUGAGACAGCAGAUGCUGCCAGCAGGAUCCCUCCAUCCUGAGCCCUGUUGUGUCCCCACCCCUGCUCUGUGGAGAUGGGGUAGAGGAACAGGGGGGAGACACUCUGCAAUCAGCACUCUUCUUCUCCCCUCCCCCCUCCACAGCAAGUAGGAGCCUCCCAGAAGCAGCACACGGCAGUGGGGGGAGGGACACCUGAACUGCCCGGCAAUUGCUGGGCGGCUGGUGCACAGGGAACGCUGUGGGGAAGCUGAUAGGGGGCUGCCGGCCCACCCUGGUUCCAAGCCCCCACCAGCUGGUUCCAACGGGCUGCUCUUCCUGCAAGCAGUGGACAAAGCAGGUGGCUGCCAAACAAUGUUAUGAGGGAGUGUGGUGGGGCGAGUGCCCCACCCCCCUGUGAGAGGGGUCAAAGACAGGCCAGAGAGUCUGCACAAAGUGGCGGCCAAUCAGGGAGGGCCUGUUAGCCAAUCAGGGUUGGGCAAGAGGUGGCCAGUCAGGGCUGGGCUCAGUCCUAUAUAAAGGCUGCCCAUGAGAGGAGCGGUCAGUCUCCUGACCAAGGAGACCAGCACCUGGACGUGCGGUGCUGGGCAGACUCAGGGGAGCAUAGGAGAGCUCCAGCCAGUUACCUGCAAGGCUGCGGGCUCUGACCAGAAGGGCCUAAAGGGUGCAAAGGGGUCAGAGGGGAAGUGACCCAGGGAGAGCGGACAGAUGAGGGGAGAGAGGGAGGGUCACUAGAGGGUCGCUGGUUUGGAACCCAGAAUAGUGGGUGGACCUGGGUCCCCCCAAGCCUUAUCUUCCACCUGGCCGUGGGAAGUGGCCAUAACGGACUGCACCAGACCCCUGAGGGAAGGGGUUAGACUUUGGGGUGUGGUUGGCCACUGCGGCAGGGGUAAACCAGGAGACUGUUGUUAAAUCCCCCCGGAAGGGGGUGAGCAUGGACUAAGGGUCUGGGGGGCAGUGUCCUGAAGAGGACGCCGCCGAGCGGGGAGCAACAUGGGUCCAGAGACCAAUGGAGGGCGAGAAAUGGAUGGGACACCACUGGCGGAAGGCGCUCCACAUGGACUGAGCUAAUUCCCGGAGUCACCAGUGGGAGGUGCCGUGGUGGUGAGUCCCAACCCCGUCACAGGGAGCAUUGCACAAGUUUAAAUGAGCAUGUUCUCUAAUAGAUCAGCCACGAAACAACAUUAACUGGGAUGACCUUAAGUGAGGAGUUACUGUAUCUGUAUUAAAUGCAUAAACAUCCAUUUUGCUGUCAGCACUCAAGUUGCCUGGUUAAGAAUUCUCUCUCUCAAAAAAAAGAGGACAAGGUUAAAUAUGCAGCCUUAACUUUGUGCAUGUGUGUUACAACACUGGGUCAGAUCCUCAGCUGGUGUAGAUGGGCCAGUUUGCACCAGCUGAGGACCUCUCUCAUUGUGUUCCAUUUGUAAAGACAGUAAGGGUAUGUUUACGAUGCAACUGCUGCAGUUAGACUGUUGUAAGGUAGACAUUUACUACAGCGAUGGAAGAAUUCUUCCGUCAACCUACCUGCGUCUGCAGUGGGAGUUAGGUUGAUUUAUGUUGCACAGGGUAUAAAACGUUUGACACCCCUGAGUAAUGUAGGUACGUCUACCUGAGUUUUAGGUGUAGCCUAGGCCUAAGAAACUUCCCUCACCAGCAGUCUUUCCUCUCCUGGGCCAGCAUCAGGCCCUUGCUUCCUUGACCGUCGGAAUUCUCAUGAAUGUCAAAACAUGCAUCAGUCUUUGCAGAAAAGUUAAUAUUUAAUUAAAUUCAAAUGGUUUUUCUCUGUCAUAAAUGCUGUUUCCUGAGGCCAAUGUGUAGGUACAUUAUAUCUAAUGGAGGAUUCCUGUUCUGACAAAGCCCUGUUCCUUUGUCUUUCCUUCAACUCUUCUUUCCUGUUGGUGUGAUGUCUGUCCUUCAAGUGGAAAAAAUGACAGAAGGGCUUUCCUAAGUUUUAAGAGUAUUGGUGCUUAAUGUUCAUCCCAUCCCAUGAUGUGGCCUUUUAAGUUUUUGAAAGGUCUGAUGUGUAUAUACAAGAACCUAGAGGCAUUGGUAAAAUGUGUUGUAGAUCUCAGCAGUUUUUGAGGAGAAGAUUCAGUUGUGUCGCAUGCUUUCUUUCUCUCACCAGAAGGGGUUUUCUAUUUCCCAACUAGUCUGACAGGGAACAGUGACACAGCUGCAACCAUCUUGAGACCACCAGAUGUCAGUAUAAGAAAAAGGAUAAGCAAAGGACCACAGAAUCUCUGUGAUUUAUAUAAAUGAAAAAACAAAAUAAAAUUAUCGUGUCAUUCAAAGGAAAAUAUUUGUUAUAGACUGAGGUUGUUUAAAUAAAUCCUUCUGAUAAGCACCUUCCAGGAA